UGCAGUCGAACGCUUCUUUUUCCACCGGAGCUUGCUCCACCGGAAAAAGAGGAGUGGCGAACGGGUGAGUAACACGUGGGUAACCUGCCCAUCAGAAGGGGAUAACACUUGGAAACAGGUGCUAAUACCGUAUAACAAUCGAAACCGCAUGGUUUUGAUUUGAAAGGCGCUUUCGGGUGUCGCUGAUGGAUGGACCCGCGGUGCAUUAGCUAGUUGGUGAGGUAACGGCUCACCAAGGCGACGAUGCAUAGCCGACCUGAGAGGGUGAUCGGCCACAUUGGGACUGAGACACGGCCCAAACUCCUACGGGAGGCAGCAGUAGGGAAUCUUCGGCAAUGGACGAAAGUCUGACCGAGCAACGCCGCGUGAGUGAAGAAGGUUUUCGGAUCGUAAAACUCUGUUGUUAGAGAAGAACAAGGAUGAGAGUAACUGUUCAUCCCUUGACGGUAUCUAACCAGAAAGCCACGGCUAACUACGUGCCAGCAGCCGCGGUAAUACGUAGGUGGCAAGCGUUGUCCGGAUUUAUUGGGCGUAAAGCGAGCGCAGGCGGUUUCUUAAGUCUGAUGUGAAAGCCCCCGGCUCAACCGGGGAGGGUCAUUGGAAACUGGGAGACUUGAGUGCAGAAGAGGAGAGUGGAAUUCCAUGUGUAGCGGUGAAAUGCGUAGAUAUAUGGAGGAACACCAGUGGCGAAGGCGGCUCUCUGGUCUGUAACUGACGCUGAGGCUCGAAAGCGUGGGGAGCAAACAGGAUUAGAUACCCUGGUAGUCCACGCCGUAAACGAUGAGUGCUAAGUGUUGGAGGGUUUCCGCCCUUCAGUGCUGCAGCUAACGCAUUAAGCACUCCGCCUGGGGAGUACGACCGCAAGGUUGAAACUCAAAGGAAUUGACGGGGGCCCGCACAAGCGGUGGAGCAUGUGGUUUAAUUCGAAGCAACGCGAAGAA
rnacentral:rRNA from 1 species